CUCACCAUGGUGUAGCUGGUUAUCACGUUCGACUGUAACUUGUAAAGAAUUGCCAUCGAAAGGUCACCGAUUCGACUUCGGUUGGUGAGA
rnacentral:tRNA from 1 species